UACAGAGGGGGCAAGCGUUGUUCGGAAUUACUAGGCGUAAAGGGCAGGUAGGUGGUUUGGUUAGUCUGUUGUGAAAGCUCCCGGCUUAACUGGGAGAGGUCAACGGAUACUGCCAAACUUGAGUAUAGGAGAGGUUACUGGAAUUCCCGGUGUAGCGGUGAAAUGCGCAGAGAUCGGGAGGAACACCAAUGGCGAAAGCAGGUAACUGGACUAUUACUGACACUCAGCUGCGAAAGCUAGGGGAGCAAACAGG
rnacentral:rRNA from 1 species